rnacentral:rRNA from 1 species
AGAGUUUGAUCAUGGCUCAGAUUGAACGCUGGCGGCAGGCCUAACACAUGCAAGUCGAGCGGUAACACAGAGGAGCUUGCUCCUUGGGUGACGAGCGGCGGACGGGUGAGUAAUGCCUGGGGAUCUGCCCGAUAGAGGGGGAUAACUACGGGAAACUGUAGCUAAUACCGCAUAACGUCUACGGACCAAAGUGGGGGCUCUUCGGACCUCAUGCUAUCGGAUGAACCCAGGUGGGAUUAGCUAGUUGGUGAGGUAAUGGCUCACCAAGGCGACGAUCUCUAACUGGUUUGAGAGAAUGACCAGUCACACUGGAACUGAGACACGGUCCAGACUCCUACGGGAGGCAGCAGUGGGGAAUAUUGCACAAUGGGCGCAAGCCUGAUGCAGCCAUGCCGCGUGUGUGAAGAAGGCCUUCGGGUUGUAAAGCACUUUCAGCGGGGAGGAAGGGUCACUAGUUAAUACCUGGUGGCAUUGACGUUACUCGCAGAAGAAGCACCGGCUAACUCCGUGCCAGCAGCCGCGGUAAUACGGAGGGUGCAAGCGUUAAUCGGAAUUACUGGGCGUAAAGCGCACGCAGGCGGUUUGUUAAGUCAGAUGUGAAAUCCCCGAGCUCAACUUGGGAACUGCAUUUGAAACUGGCAAGCUAGAGUCUUGUAGAGGGGGGUAGAAUUCCAGGUGUAGCGGUGAAAUGCGUAGAGAUCUGGAGGAAUACCGGUGGCGAAGGCGGCCCCCUGGACAAAGACUGACGCUCAGGUGCGAAAGCGUGGGGAGCAAACAGGAUUAGAUACCCCGGUAGUCCAA